rnacentral:misc_RNA from 1 species
CAAAAAGAUAAAUUGCAGCCCUAGACAGAAUUCACUUCUACCCUACUCAUUUAAUAGUUUUCUUAAGACUGCUGAUAAAGUUGGUGCUAGGAUAGGAACGCACUUAAGCAAAAUAGGAAGGCCUGUCAUAUUCCAGUAUAUUUCUUUCAUGCUUUUGGAAACUCAUGUGCCCUGUGAAAGAGCUCUGCAACUCCUCGAUGUUGAGCUCAGGCAUGACGUCAUCCUCGCCGUAGCAACUGCAUUGUGUAGUGGCAACAUUGACUGCACUCCUCCCAGCUCCGACGGAAUUCUUGAAAAGGAUAACCGGCGGAGAGGAGACGAAGCAGAUCUGGUUGAAGCAGAGAAACUGGAGAACGACGUCGCAGAAGAAGCUGAUUGAGAAUUGAGCUUCAUGGCGGAUCUGAUAGAAGAAAGCGAAGCCUUGCUGAUAAUUCUGCUACACCUUGAAGCCAUUGUACGGAGAGUUUUGGGUGAAUAUCUCGGAGCUAUGGUG